UCCCAUAUGUCCCCUGAGCCUGUGAGGAGUGAUUUCUGAAUGCAGAGCCAGGAGUAACCCCUGAGUGCCACCAGGUGUGGUGUCCCAGAGCUAGUAUAGCAGGUAGGGUGCUUGUCUUGAACACUUCUGACUUGUUUUCAAUCCCCAACAAACCAUAUGGUCCCCUGAGCCCCCAGAUGUGGCCUCAAGGAAAAAAAGGUAAUCCUUAGCUAAAUACCUAAAUAUUUUUUCUGUAAUCAGAAUCCUUUUGAAUUAAUGUUUAAAUAGCCUAGGAUCACAAAUAAU